GACAGAGGGUGCAAACGUUGCUCGGAAUUAUUGGGCGUAAAGAGCUCGUAGGCGGUGUGUCGCGUCGGCCGUGAAAACCUGCAGCUUAACUGUGGGCUUGCGGUCGAUACGGGCAUCACUGGAGUUCGGCAGGGGAGACUGGAAUUCCUGGUGUAGCGGUGAAAUGCGCAGAUAUCAGGAGGAACACCGGUGGCGAAGGCGGGUCUCUGGGCCGAUACUGACGCUGAGGAGCGAAAGCGUGGGGAGCGAACAGG
rnacentral:rRNA from 1 species